UAAACCAGUCAUCUUCGGAUGGUUGGGGUUACGGACCUGCAUCAACCGAGUCCUACCUAGUCGAAUUACCUGGAAAGGUAAGCCAGAGAGCGUAAGAGCCGCGUAGGUGAAAGGAAGGACGAGGGGGCAGGGAUCCAGAGUACCACGAAGCACGAGGAAUUUUGUGGGAAGUCGGGGGGACCACCCUCCAAGGCUAAACACUUCUUAGUGACCGAUAGCGCAUAGUACCGUGAGGGAAAGGUGAAAAGAACCGCGGGAGCGGAGUGAAAGAGAACCUGAAACCGUAUGUCUACAAGCAGUCGGAGCGCAAGCGACGGCGUGCCUAUUGAAGAAUGAGCCAACGAGUUACGGGCACCAGCGAGGUUAAGCAGGAAAUGCGGAGCCGGAGCGAAAGCGAGUCUAAACAGGGCGAAUAGUUGGUGUUCGUAGACCCGAAACUGUAGUGAUCUACCCAUGAUCAGGUUGAAGCGCAGGUAAAAAUGCGUGGAGGACCGAACCGGUGAGCGUUGAAAAGCUUUCGGAUGAAUCGUGGGUAGCGGUGAAAUUCCAAUCGAACGCAGAGAUAGCUGGUUCUCCUCGAAAUAGCUUUAGGGCUAGCCUCAAGCAGUAAGCAUAGGCGGUAGAGCACUGAUCGGGAUAGGGUCCGUAAAGGAUACCGAACCCUGUCAAACUACGAAUGGUUAUGCUGCAGAGCUUGGGAGUCAGACUACGAGAGAUAAGUCCCGUUGUCAAAAGGGAAACAGCCCAGACCGUCAGCUAAGGUCCCCAAUGCCAUACUAAGUGGAAAAGGAUGUGGGGUCUCAUAAACAACCAGGAUGUUGGCUCAGAAGCAGCCACCAUUUAAAGAGUGCGUAAUAGCUCACUGGUCGAGAGGCCCUGCGCCGAAGAUUCCCGGGGCUAAAGUAUGGAACCGAAGCUACGGAUGCGGUACUUGUACCGCGUGGUAGAGGAGCGUUCCCAUUGGGUUGAAGUCGUCCUGGAAGGGACGGUGGACUGGUGGGAAGUGAGAAUGUUGGCAUGAGUAGCGAAAAGAUAGGUGAGAAUCCUAUCCACCGAAAGCAUAAGGAUUCCUGAGCAACGAUCGUCGUCUCAGGGUAAGUCGGGACCUAAUCCGAGGCAUGGAGCGUAGGAGAUGGACAACUGGUUGAUAUUCCAGUACCGGCAGCAAUCGUUUGAACGAUGGAGUGACGCAGGAAGGCAGGUCCGCGCGAGAAUGGUAGAUCGCGUGCAAGCGUGUAGGCUGGUGCACAGGCAAAUCCGUGUACUGAGGCUGAGGCGUGAUGUGGAGGGAACUUGUUCCCGAAGGGAUUGAGCCUACGCUGCCGAGAAAAGCUUCUAGUGAGAAAGCUGCCGCCCGUACCGUAAACCGACACAGGUAUGCGGGGAGAGAAUCCUAAGGUGCGCGGGAGAACCCUCGUUAAGGAACUCGGCAAAAUGUACCCGUAACUUCGGGAUAAGGGUAGCCACAGUGGUGAAGGGACUUGCUCCUGGAGCCUAGUGUGGUCGCAGAGAAGAGGCCCAAGCGACUGUUAACCAGAAACACAGGUGCCUGCGAAAGAGAAAUCUGAUGUAUAGGUGCUGACACCUGCCCAGUGCUGGAAGGUUAAAGAAGGAUGUCCGGGUUCGACCCAAAGCAUUUGACUGAAGCCCCAGUGAACGGCGGCCGUAACUAUAACGGUCCUAAGGUAGCGAAAUUCCUUGUCGGGUAAGUUCCGACCCGCACGAAAGGUGUAACGAUUUGGGCACUGUCUCAACGAGGGACCCGGUGAAAUUGAAAUACCUGUGAAGAUGCAGGUUACCCGCGACUGGACAGAAAGACCCCAUGGAGCUUUACUGUAACCUAAUAUUGGGUUCUGAUAUUCGACGCACAGGAUAGGUGGGAGGCUUGGAGCAUGGUCCUCUGGGAUCAUGGGAGCCGCCGUUGGGAUACCACCCUUCGAAUAUCGGGAUUCUAACCGCAGGAGCAACGAUCCUCGGGACAGUGUUAGGCGGGCAGUUUGACUGGGGCGGUCGCCUCCUAAAGAGUAACGG
rnacentral:rRNA from 1 species